AGGACUGGGCAAAGUUUUUGAGAAAA
rnacentral:piRNA from 1 species